GCUUUAGUAGUUUAUUAAAAACAUUGGUCUUGUAAAUCAAAAAAGAAAUAUUCUUCCUAAAGUA
rnacentral:tRNA from 1 species